rnacentral:lncRNA from 1 species
AAAAUGUAUUGCAACAUUACAAUUGUGUUUUACUACUAUUGAAAUCUUAACCCACACAUUGCAACCUUUAUUUAAAGCAACUACUACUGAAAAACAUCUGACCUAUCUAUACAUCCUCAAAAACAGAUUUUAUUUUAUGUUUGAAAAACAACUCAUCUGUUUUAGGGAAAAACAAUUUCUGAGCUACUGAGUAAUAAGAUAGGAACAAAGGUUAACAUGAGUCACUGAGAAAAUAUGCUCUGUACAGCAUGGAAACACCAUAACAGGAGAUGGCUAUGAAGACCCAUUGUUGAACAGAUCCCAAAUGUUGGAUGUCUAUCUAUUGACAGUACCAGCACACAUGACCACUGUGACUUCUGACAAAGCUGUCUCAAUGGACCUGAAUUUACUGUUUCCUUGAAGCCAAACAAGGCCCACCCAACAAGCUUGGCCAGGGAGUGAUCAACUAAGAGGAAGCCAGACAAGAGAGAUGGCCAGACUUGCCUGAAAUAAGAACCUGGGCUUUGAUGGCUGAACAACCCCAGUUUGGCAAGACUCAAUCUACAGCUUGGAGGGCAAGCCAGCCCAACUGACCUCUCCACCACCACCUGUUGUCUGUGAGUCCAGACAACAGGACUCACAAAUUUCUUGAUUAUGCUAUUGAAAUAAUAAAAAAGAGACAUCCAUAUGUACACAGAGACUUUGAUCAAUAUAUUUACCAAUGAAAAAACUGUAAUUAUCUGUUGUGUCAUGUGAUGGCAUAUAGAGACCAGUGAAAUGUGUGAAGUGGAGGAGAUGAAAGAGACCUUUUAAUUUUGGAAAUGAAGAGAGAUAGCUCUGAUGGAGAAAGCAAAAAGAGAUGGUCGUUAACAUCUUGAGAUUUCGAUGAUGCCCAAUGCGUCCAUUUCCUGGUCCCUGAGCAGAUGUGGGACUACAACAGGCACACGUGAUGCAGGACUCGGCAGCCAUCUCCAUGUUUCUGAAGCCUGUGGCACACCAAUGGAAGUGAAGACUAUGCAGCACAGGCACAGACAAGAUCUGACCAUGAAGUCUGUAUCAGACCAGUGGAAGGGACUUUUUUGUAGACUCAAGAAUCAACAAUCUGUCGUGGUCAUUUAAUACAAAGAACGGCAAGAACUUUCACUUGUAAAAAGAAAGGAUGACAAUUCAUGAGCAUACAAUUUGAAAUCAGCAGAUUCUUGGACAAUUCUGAUCACAGACUGAGGAGAUAUCUCCAAGGACACAAAGUUCAUACUGUGUGAACAUGAGCAGCCGAGUUUGCAUCCUGAGAACGUAUGUAAAAGUCAAAUGCUUAGAACAAAUGUCUGAAAUCGCAGAGUCCUUGUGGGAAGAUUGGAGGUAUUGGAGGUGGACACUGGAGAACCUCUGGAAGCUUGUAGGCCAUCUGGCCUAACACACACAGCAGAAAGCAGUGAAGUGAUCUGAUCUCCUUCAACAGAGAAGGUGAGUUACAGAAUCUAAUUUUGUCCUUUGACUUUCAUCUGUGUUAUGUGGCACAUGCAAUAAUGCUCAUACAUACUUCAGUAGCAACUUAGUUGACAGUGUGAACAAUGAGUUGUUCAGAUUCAUCCCAUUUUGAUAAGACCCAAUGGUCAAGAAAGCACUGUGAGACAACACACCCAGGGAGUGCCAAGUGCUUUUCGGUGGCUUGGCUGAUCUAAUAGAGACAUAAAUUAUGUGCUUUCACAGGCAGUAUUGCUGCUUGGAAACUAGGUGCAAACCUCAAGAUACUGGAGAAGUCAGACACCAAGGAAGGGCCUGGGGGAGAUGAUGAUUGGGUAUCCCAGGUACAGGACUACCUCUUGCUCGUUCUUCUAGGUUAGCUUUCAUCUUGCCCCAGUACCCCCCAAAUGAAGUCUUCCUUCAGAUUAUUUGCACCAUUGAACAUCAUUGAGUUACAGGAAUCACUGCAACUCAUUGGCACUUUCUUUUCCCUAUAAGCACCCAUGUAACAUCUUUUUCUUUUUUUCAUUCAUUUAUUUAAAUCAUAAUUAAAGUCAUGCACAAUUAUGAUACACAAUACAGUAUGUUCACAAUGGCAUGACUAAAUUAAACCAAUUAACAUGUUAUAUCACACAUAUUCAUCAUUUUUGUUUUGAGAACACUUAAAGUAUACUAUCUCACAACUUUUAAAAUAUAGCAUAUUGUUAUCAACCAUAUUUAUCAUGCUCUCAGUAGACCUCAAGACUUCACAGAGUCCAUGCUUCUUGUCCAACUGCAGUUUUAUAUCCUUAAACCAAUCCUUUCCCCAUUGUUAAAAGACCCACAUUGAAGCCUAAUAGCCACAAUUCUGCUCUCUGUUCCCAUAAGUUCAUCAUUUCUAGGUUACACAUACAAUUGAAAUUGUGUGACAUUUGUCUCUACACCAGCAAGACAUUAACAUAUAACAUCUUUUUCUCCAUAUAUUGAUUAUACAAAGCAUCACUAAUUGAAACUGGUCUACCCAGAAAUCAAAAUAGAACACUCUGGAGGCAUACAACAAAUGCACACCAACCCUGGUGCUACUUUGACCAAGCUUGAAAGUCAUUUUGUUUCAGUUUUUGCUACAAGGGGUCACGGUGAAUUCUAUAAUAGCAUAUAUUUCAUUCAAGAAAGCUCCACAAGAGUGCAGUUGUUCUCUUUUCUUCAGUGCUCAGUACACAGUAAGUGCUCAGAAAAUACUUGAAUGAAUGAAACAAUAGAAUUCACUAAAUAAAUGGGACUAAAGUCACUUACA